AAUACCCCGAAAAAUCCAAAUUAAUUUCCGUGGAUUUUUAGAAAUGAUUUCACAAUAGUGGGAGCGAGUACGAGGCUCGGAGAAGUUGUGGAAUUAGUUCGAACGAUUAAUUUUCGAAAAAGAACGUUAUUUAGGGGCUCGCGAAAGUUGACUUUUUAUACGUUCAAAAUUUGGGAAAAUUUCCUUCAUGAAAGUCAUAGAGCUCGUCGAUACGAACUCGUGCAUAUGUAGAACGCGAAAAUCGGAGUUCAUGUGAAUUAGUUAUGGAUUUUUGAAGAUAUUUCCAUUUUGGUAUAAAUACAUUUCUAUUUCCGGAAAUUGCAAACAAGGACAGAAUUUCCAGAAUUCCAGAAAUCCCUCCCCAGUUCUCUCCCGAGCCCAGCCGCGCCUCCUCCUUUCGCCUCCAUCGUUCUCCCAACUCCGGCCACCUUUGGCCGAGUUCUUGGAGGGCUUUUACUCGCCUUGGUCUAUACAUGAAGUCUGGGCAACCAAUCGAACUUGAAACGAGCUGGAGAAGAAGAAUCGAGACCGAGAAGUGGGACUGCCAACAACAAAAUCGCUCUUCCCCCACCGUUUUCUGGGCUCUCCUUUGGCCGGCCAUAUCUCCCUUCACAGACCUCUAAUCGACUUGCUUCCAAAAGCAAAUUUGUUCGCCCUGAAGUCCUUUAAAACUUUCAAGAAGACAUCGAUGGGAAAUAACCAUCGUGGUGGUCUCUGCAAGUCGAAGAACAUGGUGCAGCCGAGUUGGAAAUCGCCUCACUUCGCCACUAUUGUUCUCCCUCCUCCGGUCACCUUUUUCCGUUUUUCUUGAAGGGAUUCUGCACUCCUGAGGAUGUAGAUCAUUUAUCCUAAGGUGGGUUGCAUCAAAUCGAGCUGUGGUGAUCGAAUUCGCACGAUUUGGAAACUAGGGUUCAUCCGAUCUGAAAAUGUUGUGAGGUGAUUGACGGUCUCCCUUGGGUGAACGAUUUCGGUGUGUAUUGUGUUGAAUUGAAGACGCAGCGGGAAUAUCGAGCGGGUAAUCCUGCAGGUCAGGAGAAUCAGGACGGUGAUCGUGCGGGUUAGAGAAUUUGUUUUAGUUUUACAGCAAUUGUAAUUGUGAGGUGAGUUAUGCUCAUUUGAGCCUUACAAUAUAAUUUGGUGAGAGUGUGCUGUAAUAAACAAAUUUGAGAUUUGGUUUAUGUAAUAUCGAGCGAUGUGAGGUGUGGUUGUUUUGAGAAAAAAAUUCAGGUUGUAUUUAUGUGAGUUGUAUUAAUUCAUGUUUCGGAUUUUUAAUUGUAUUUAAAAUUCGGGGCGUG